rnacentral:lncRNA from 1 species
UGUGCAGCUUCUUCCAACGCUUUUCCACAAUCAUCCUUCUGAUCACGUAAAUCCAAUGGGUCAAUCUCGUAAAAUAUGGGCAGAACUAUUUGGCCAAAAGUUUCUUGGCAUUCAAUGAUUUUUUGAAGCUGAAGAAGACAGCAGGUAGAUUCAGUGUAUGAUUUGGAGAAAACGAUUAUUGCAAUCUUAGAGGCUGCUAUUGCUCGCAUGUGUUCUUCCAGCUCCAUUCCCUGCAGAUUUUCCUCCUUGAUCAAAGUGUUGACUUUAGCUUGUAAAAGGACAGAAUGGAGAUGAGAAACCAACUUUCUACCGAUGUCUUCUCCCCAAAAGUUGAUGAACACAUCGUAUCUGAACUGGGGUUCUGAUUUUAAGAAGGAUAAAGACGAUGAUGAUGAUGAAGAAGAAGCGAAUUCCAUCAAAGGAUUGAAGUCAACUCUUCAAAAGCAAUAAUGUUAAGAUGUUCAAAUUACAAUUGUUUAUGGACUUAUCAUCUCAUCUAAGAGUCUGUUAAGAAAUUUCAUAUUUCUUUUGUUUAUGUUUUUUUUGUAAUGCAGUGACAAGGAGUUCAUCAUUUUUUUAAUUAGGUGAAAAGCUACCUCUGUUAGAUAACAGACUGCUACCUUAAAAGCCAUUUUAAACCCAUCAAUUCUCCAUCUUUAAGCAUGAUAACAAUUAAUGAAUAUUUGAUAACAUAAUUUAAAGAUACUAAAAUCUGACUUUAAACAAUAAAUGUAUAAACCAAGCAGCAUAAUACAACACAUAUUAUUGAGAAAUACAGGAGCAGUUUCAACAUUGAGGCAUACAAGUUCAACAACAAAAUUUAAUUAAAAAAUGGAACAUAAUUUACCAUGAGUGAGAAAAGUUAAAAAUUCUGAUAAAAUCUGUGGUUAUUCAAAUGGAUACUUUUAUUUUUGUUGAUCUUUACACUGGAAUAUGGAACUUAGGCCAAUUCAUCCCUCCAUUCCUUGCAUAUAUAGUUCUCUUGUAAUAGAGGACAUUCACUGAUGCUAAGGAAAGAAAGAGAAUGAGGGAGCAAUUCCAUUUGUGGCAACAACUUAAGGUUCAAACAAUUUGCAAUCUAUGGAUUUUCAAGAGAGAUCAAAUCUUGAAGUCCCACACCAUUAAAGAAAGAAAUGUCUUUGAUGCACAGUGACAAAAGAGAAAUUUGAAGCAAUUGCUUUUUCAUCAAGUCAUGUACCACAUCAUCUCCUCCUAUGGUUACUAUUUUCAAAUGAGGUUGGAACCAAGAGAACUAUUCGGGUCCUCCUUCGAUUGGUCUGCACCUUUUUCCUUUUCGGUCGAACCUUCCCACUCGCUCUUCCACUCCUCCUUGCUUGCUUCGGACUCAAAUGGUACCCGCAAAAGGCACUCCGACACUCAAGUUAAUCUUCAACACUCGACACUCAGUAUUUAGGAUUAGAUGAAUGCCUGAUCCCUUGCGAUCUGUGCUAAUUUAUAUUAUUGUUAUGGGCCCAUUGUUAUUAAUGGGCCUAAUAAAAGGGGAUUAUCCAAUGUUAGGUCAUUAGCUAGUCUCACUGUUGGUCAUGUCAGUCGGUUUGGACCGGGUGCUGAGUCAUAGUCCCGGUCGUGCUGAUCGGACCGGUACACUUGCCCCCCAGAUUCGAGGAUGUCUAAUCUGAAGAGUCUUUAUUUGGGGUUGGUGUGACGGUUGGGAUUCCCGAGGUGGUAUGUGACGUUGGCAGCGCCGAAUGCAUGAUAUGACCUGUAAUGAUGAAUUAAAAUUUUGGCGUCAUUCGUUGAGGGUCGUUGGAUCAAGGGAGAUCUAACGGUUGAAAUGUAAUGUUGCUUACAACGGGAAGACCCAUUGUGGCCUUUCCAAACUCUAUUUUAAUACCAGUGCAGUGAAUGAAUGAGAAAGACAUUUCAUUUUUCUUAGAAUCCUAUCUUAGUUUUUAGGUUUUAGUGUUACUAUAGCGAAAACCUGUCAGGCAAUGUUCCAGAGAUAUCUCAGAGAAUACCAUGUUAGAAUAAACUCGAGAAAACAUAAAUUAUUUAAGUAGUUUAAGAAAAAUGAAUAUUCAUGCUCAAAUAAGACAUUGAAAAGGAGAAUCAAAACAAGAUAUGUCUUGUUGAUAUAACCACGCUUAAAGCAGUGCAACAUAAAAGUAUGCAGCAGAGCAAAAAUGCAAAAACAGAAUGAGUCAUCAAUAUAAUAUGUCUAUCCACAAAAUAUCAACAUUACAAUUAUAAAUUAUUAUCAUAAUUACUUUUAACAUUGUUAUUAUUAUUAUCAUCUUUGUUAUUAUUACAUCAAUUUAUUAAAUUAAAUUUUAUUAUGUUAUAUAUCAAUAUAAAAUAAAAUUAUUAGUAUUAAUAUUAUAAAAAGAUAGGGGCUUACCACUGAAGUUAUGGAAUUCAUAAUGUUUCAAGCACAUAGCAGCGUUACUGGGAACCCCUGUCGAGAUUGACGAGGCAACUUUGGCAUUGGAAGAGCUCGAGUAUGCAAGGUUCAGAAUUAGAGUUUCAGUGGGAUGUGAGGCGAAGAUAACCAGUUAUAUGAAGAUUAACGAGGUUCUGUAUCAGGUUUCGGUGGAGGAAGAGUGUACUGUCCCAGACUAUAAACUGUGUCAAUGCCAUUGGAGCGAAGAAUCUGAAGGCAUGGAAACAGAGGUGGGCUCAACUGCAUCAAAUGCUUCAACGCGCUCGGGGAGUAGGGAUUUCGAGGACGUUAGAAAGGUGGAGGAGGAGAAUAUGAUGGCGGAAAUGCGAAACGUCCAGCCACCGCCGAUGCAAGGCCACCGGAGAUCGGAACCUAUUGUAUCGGUGGGUGGUGGCGAGUCUACCUCGGUUAGACCAAUAGGCCCUCUCUCUGCACCUAUUUUCAGUACUAUCAUAGGAAAGGAUGUCCUAGAGGCUAAUUCUCCAACGGCUCUAAGUAGGGCUGAUGUAGACAAUAGGUUUGGGCCUUCAGUAAUGGCCCAAGAAGGGCUGGUCUUCGCAACCUAUGUGGAGAAGGAAGGGAGGUGCAGAAGUAAAAAUCUUAUUGAGGCCCCGUCGAAAUCUGGCCCAGCUGUUUGUGGAGAGGAGAAGCUUUGGAACGGGUCGCUGGGAAGGCAACUCAUAUCUGGAAAUUUUAUUUCUCUCAAUGAAUCAGAACAAGGAGGCCUUAGCGGGAAAGACAAAAUCACCUCACACUAUGGGAAAGCACGAAACAAAGCAACCACCGCGCCCCCUUCUAAAUUGUUUAAGGUUACGAAGGAGAAUAGGAGGAGUUUUCCGUGCACGGUGAGACCGGAAGUGAAAGGAACAGAGGAUUUAUCCUCUCAAACAUCGUCGACGGUGGAAGGGAACAAGGGGGGAGUUCACGUUUCAUCUAAGUCUGUAUCGAGGGUGGAGGAUUCGUUACGAGAGUCACAAGAGGGGAAGGUAAACGAAUCUUCUAAGCUACUCUCCCUUGUCGUCGUAAAGACUAAGCACAAGCAAUGCCAUUUUCAAUCGGAUUCAAAAUCAAGCAGAAUCAAAGACACUUAUCUUCCGUUUGACAAGCAAAAGAAAAAGGGGACCCAACUGAUUGAGGAUGAAGUGGACUACCUAAAAAAGCAAGUCCACAAUUCGUUCACCUCUAAUUCGUCUGCAACAAUGGAGAGGAGAGUGUUAUGGGUGGGAGAAUCAAGCAAAAGUAGCAAGCGGGAUGAACGCAAGAAUAUAAGGUCAGUUCUUUCUCAAAUUAGUAAUUUUGUUUCUGACACGGCCAUUGAUAACUGCAAUCGCUUAUUUUGGUUGAAACAUGGGAGCCUUGAAACAAUUAGAGUGUGGGAGUUGGGCAAACAGUUAGGGGCUUCUUGUGGGGAAGAAGGAAAAGUUAUGGUAAGCUUAGAAGAAUUAGAAAAAAGGGACAGGUUUAUGAAACUUAAAAGGGAAGAGGGGGAGGUUUUAGGUUGUUUAUGAGAAUCCUUUCUUUAAACGUGAAAGGGUUUGGGAGCCCUGUAAAGUGGAGGUAUGUAAAGGAAAUUAUUAGAAAGGAAGGGAUUAAAUUGUUCUGUUUGCAAGAAGUAAGAAUGAAUAACUUCAGUUUAGAUUUAUGUUGUAAGUUAUGGGGAGACAAUGACAUUGAUUUCUUAUAUAGUGAGCCAGCAAACGGGUCAGAGGGUAUUCUUAUGGCUUGGCACAAAAUGUUCUUUUAGUGCACUAGUAACAUUAUUAAUAGACGGUUCAUUGUGUUCUCUGGGUUAUCUAAGGAGAAAAAUAUCCCUGUUAUUAUUGUAAAUGUGUAUUCUUCCUGUAUUAUACAUGAGAAAACACAGAUGUGGUCAGAGUUAUUGGAGGUUAGGCAAAGGGAACCUUGCUGCUCUUGGUGUAUAUUGGGGGAUUUCAACUCUAUAAGAAAUGAGAGGGAACGAAGGGGGGUUAAUAGAGAGAGAUGCAAGGUUUUAAUAACUUCAUUGAUAAUAUGGAAAUGGUGGAUAUACCCUGCAUUGGAAGAAAAUACACUUGGUAUAGACCUAACGGUAAAGCAAAGAGUAGGCUUGACAAGUUUUUUAUGUCCUUUGAAUGGUUACAACACUGGCCAAGUAGUAAGCAAUACGUUGCAAAGAGACAAAUAUCUGAUCACUGUGCGAUAGUGUUAAAAUCAAAUGUGGCAGAUUGGGGCCCAAAACCUUUUAGGUUUCUUGACAUUUGGCAGGAAGAUAAAGAGUUUGUUAAUUUUGUUAAAAGCAAGUGGGAAAGUUACUUGGUUCAAGGUAACAAAAUUUUGGUAUUAAAAGAGAAACUGAAAAUGCUAAAGAGUGACCUGAAAGGUUGGAACAAAGAUGUUUUUGGGUACACUGAUAAGUUAAAACUUGAGAUCUUGAGGAAAAUACAAGUGUUGGAUUCGAGAGAUGAUGAGGAAGGUUUGAACGAAAACAUGAUCAUUGAAAGAAGAGAACUUCUAAGUCAGUUACAGGUUUUAAAAAAUGAGAGAAUCGAAUCUCUAUUACAACAAAAGUCAAGAGCAUUGUGGAUUAAGCAGGGGGAUUUAAACUCUUAAUUUUUUUCAUGCUUCAAUCAAAUGGAGGAGGAUGAGGAAUGAAAUAAAAGGUGUUAAUUGUAAUAUAUCCGGGAACUGGGUGGAAGAACCAAACAAGGUAAAAGAGAUGGUUUUGGAAUUUUACAAAAACAAGAUGUCGGCUACCGAAGAUAUCAGAGUUAGGUUGGACAAUGUGGUUUUCAAGGAGAUAUCUGAUUCUGAAAACAGGUUCUUGACAGAUCCGUUUGAUGAAAAAGAAAUAAAGGAAGCCAUCUGGAAUUGCGAUAGCCAUAAAAGUCCUGGCCCAGAUGGAGUAACAUUCAGCUUCAUUAAAAAUAAUUGGAAUAUCUUAGAAAAAGACAUGUUGGGAGUUGUAAAAUUCUUUCAUAAAGAGGGGAUGAUACCGAAGGGUUGUAAUGCUUCCUUUAUAACGUUGAUCCCAAAAUCGGAGAAUCCCCAAUCCCUUGAAGAGUAUAAACCUAUAUCUCUUGUGGGUUGUCUAUAUAAGAUUCUGACGAAAGUGCUAGCUAAUAGGAUUAAAAGGGUCAUUGCGAAUGUGAUUGACAGGUCACAAUCUACUUUUCUGUCUAAUAGAGGUUUGCUAGACAGUGUUCUCGUUAUGAAUGAGGUGGUGGACGAUUUGAAAAAAAGGAGAAAGAGUGGGGUGAUCGUGAAACUUGACUUUGAGAAGGCAUAUGAUUCGGUAAGUUAGGAGUUUUUAUUUUACAUGAUGGGAAGGCUAGGCUUCUGCGGGAAGUGGAUUCAAUGGAUUAGAGCCUGCCUUGAAUCAGCUACAGUCUCGAUUUUGGUAAAUGAUAUUCCGACAAAGGAAUUCAAACCAACUAGAGGCCUUAGACAAGGGGAUCCGUUGGCGCCGUUCUUGUUCUUGAUUGUCGCACAAGGAUUAGCUGGGUUAGCAAAGCAAGCGACAAGAAAAAACUUGCUUUCAGGUAUCAAAGUAGGGGGUAAGAAGGAGGAGGUGAAUUUACUACAAUUUGCGGAUGAUACCCUUUUCGUAUGUGAACCAAAUGUGAAGAACAUCAUGUGCAUCAAGGCUAUUCUAAGAUGUUUUGAGUUAAGCUCUGGCCUCAAAGUAAACUUUCACAAGAGUAAGAUCGGGGCAAUCGAAGUAGAUAGGUACGAGGUGAAAAUGUAUUCUGAAAUUCUCCAUUGUGGUCUAAUGGAUAUUCCGUUCACUUACCUAGGCUUACCUAAAGGCGGCAAUCCAUCUAGGUGUUCUUUAUGGGAACCAGUGUUAGUAAAGAUAAGAAAGAAGUUGUCUCUCUGGAAGGGAAGAAAUUUAUCUUUUGCAGGAAGAGUCUGCCUUAUAAAAUUUGUUAUCAAUGUUGUUCCACUAUUUUUUCUAUCCUUUUUUAAAGCCCCAACUGGAGUGUGUAAAGAAAUUGCUAAGCUACAGAGAAAGUUUUUGUGGGGAUGGGGAAAGGAAGGGAGGAAAAUCGCUUGGACUAGUUGGGAAAAUAUUUGUAAAGCGAAGGAGGAGGGUGGUUUAGGCAUUAGACGUAUUGAUUCGUUUAAUAAGGCUCUUUUGGAAAAAUGGUUAUGGAGGUUAGAGUCCAAUGAGUGUGGACUUUGGAAGGAGGUUUUGGAAUCUAAGUACGACCUGAGGAGGUUGUCGAUUUCAUGUGCACCGAAACGAAAUAAGUUUACAUCUAGAUGGUGGAAUGAUUUAUUUAAAGUUGGUCGCUUAGACCAAGGUGACAACUGGUUCAAUCAGAAUACAACCUGGAAAGUUGGAACAGGGGAGAAGAUCAAAUUUUGGGAAGACGAAUGGCUAGCUAUUGGCCAACUCAAAGCAAGGUAUGAAAGAAUAUACAACAACUCUGAGCUUAAAGACAAGACUAUCAGAAGUUUUGGCAGGUGGAAUACAGGCAGGUGGGAGUGGAAGUUCAGUUGGAGAAGAGAAUGGUUCGAAUGGGAGAAGUCUAUGGUAGAGGAUUUUAUGUCGGUAAUAUCACUGGUGUCAGUUCAACCUGAGUACGAGGAUGUAAGGUUAUGGAACGACCCUCCAUCAAACACUUUCUCGGUUAAAUCCGCUUAUAAUAAGCUAGUUAAUUACAGGCAAUGGGGGAAAUCAGUGUUUGGUACUCUCUGGAAUCUGAAGGCCAUGCCUUCAGCCUUGUUCUUUGUGUGGACAGCCCUCUCGAAGAGGAUCGCGACAAAACAAAAUUUGUAUAAGAGGGGAAUGCCAUUAAGGGAUACUUCAUGUGCUUUAUGCGGAAGGGAAGAGGAGACAUCUACACAUACCCUUCUUUUAUGUAGGGAAUCAAGUGAAGUGUGGAAUAUGUGCUUUAUCUGGUUGGGAAUAAGUUCAGUGAACCACAAUGUGUUGACUAAUCAUCUCGAUCAAUUCUAUAGAAUUUGCUUUAAUAAGGAAGGCAAUAGACUUUGGAAGAGUCUUUGGGUCUCAAUUGUAUGGAGUAUAUGGAAGCAUAGAAAUAGGGUCACUUUCAAUCAUGCAAAGGUAGAUGCAGAGGAAAUUUUCACCAUGGCACAAGUACAAUCAUGGAUAUGGAUGAAACAUAAAGAUAAGAAAGUCACUUUCUCCUUUUCAGACUGGAUUUUAUCACCUUUAACCUGUAUCAAUAUGGUAACACGGUAAGUGCGGAGUUUUUAAUUCUGUUAAUUCUGUUAAUUUUGUAUUUUGUUUUUUUCAAUCUCACACAUACUUCUGUUAGUAAAUUAAAGGAGUUCUUACAACCUUCUAUAUAAGAUGUUUGCAUGGCUGGACGUGGUGUAAUUUGUUUGUAGAAGUCAUCUGUCUUGAUUCUUUGUGUUAGAUUUGUGUGGUGGGAAGGUUGUUUCUCUUGAUGCAGGUCCAGCCGUGGGGAUCAUGAUUUAUUCCUUUAAGGGGAGCAGGGUUUAUUCCAGUAAAAGGAGUAGGAAGACAGAAAGUACCUUGAAGGAAGACGGUCGGAAUUACGUCUUUAAAGUUACGCAAGAUUGUGGGAGAAAGAAUCACUAGUUGUGGGGAGGUUUUGGCAGGAAGCUGAAGACUAAGUCGGAAGCGUUUUUAAGCUCAUGUUCUACCAAGCACUUUCCCAAACUGGAGUAACCACGAAGGACUACUUCAAUGUAUGCUUCGGUGCUAAAUCAUUACUUGGGUUGGUGGAGUACAGUUUCUUUUGAAGUGGUUAAAAGAGAAUGGAAAUGGUUGAUGUGUGUAUCCUUAAGGCUUCAUUGGUUAACAGGUAACCUUUAUGUGGAGUGAUCUGUGAGUUUUUUAUGUGAAGUUUGUCUUGUAGGUUGUUGGGGUUGUUUUUUUGAACCAAUGUGCCAAUGUGUGUUUGGUUAAGUAGGCUAAUUUAAUCUUUUGGUAGAAUAGGUUUUAUGUUUUAUUGUAUAAGGGUUGGGACACCCCUAAAGUGUCCUUAAUUUAAUUUAAUUAAUUCUUUGUGAAAAUAAAAUAUUUUAAAGAUUAAGAAAAUUAUUAUUAUAGAGAAUAUUUGAAUACAAUGGAGAAAACUGAUAAACAUGAUCAAUGGUUCAAGAAACAAGCACAAGAACCACCAUAAGCACAACACAGUAAGUGGAUAAGAAAACCCAUUUGUAAGGAGUUCCUUCAUAAACUUAACAUAACAUAUGUUUGCAUUUUUUCCAUUGCUUAAAAGGAAUGUUAAUUUUCAAUCUCUUUAAUAUGCCCAUGAAUUGUGUUAAUGACCUUUCCUUAUCUUUAUUUAUUACGAUGGUAAACUCUUCAAUUGUGGUAUCUCAUCUUUCACCUUUUUCUUUUUCUUUUUCUUUUCUAUUAUUAGGAUAGGGAAUAUAUUGUGUUAAAUUUUAGCAAUAGUUUAACAAUAAUAAUAUUAAAAAUAAUAAUAAUUUUAUCAUUAUUAUUACACACAAAACUAAGAGAAUGAGCAACUAGAAAGGAAAUACAAUAAACAACUUAAGCACAGACAAGAAGGUAUAAUGCGAGAAGUGAGAAACAGGACAAAAUAAACAUUGAAUUUCUUAACUAUAAAAAACUACUCAACAGUUCUUUUUCCAAGUCAUUUGAUUCACCACAUAUCAAAUAGAGAGCUGUGUUCUUGACCACCAAUCCAUGACCAAAAGUCACGAAAAUCUCCACCUUGUCUCCAGAUCCUAAAUUUGACAUUAUGGCAUGCCAAUCUUCAUCAUUGAAGGAAAUUACUCUGCCAUGCCUGUGCAUAUGUAAUGUGCACUUUGUGUAAUUAACCACUAAGACACUUGUAAGACAUUCAGUUGCCACCAUUUCAGGGGUUGAUAAAUAAACAACACACAAAACCAUUCCCUUCAUGUCACAAUCCUGAGGCACAUUGAAACAAACUGAAUGUCCCUCACCCACAUUCGCCAACCAAUAAGGAUGGUUGUCACCUGGAAGAGAAACAUCACAAGACUCACUGCUUGCCAAUCCCUGUACCAGGAAAUCAAGGCUUAGUCAUGUUUGUAAUUUUGCUAUUCAAAUGAUCACCUACAAUCACCAUUUAAUCAUUCCAAAUCACAAAUAUGGGCAUUUUUAAUUCAAAUUACAAUGUAAUACACAGAUCAAAUUUAACCGAACUGAUAAUAGUUUUGCUGUUUAUUUCUACUUAAGUAUUACAGCUCUUUGAAUCAUGUGUAGCAUGAUCGUUUGGCUUGUCGAUCAUUAAAAUCAAGUACUUUUAGAUGAAACAUUACGACUAUAGAAACGAGUUGCAAAAGGGUAAGUAAUGUAGUUUCUUUUAGAAAUUGUAUUAGGAUCAUUUCAUGUUGUCUUAACUAAUAGCUAAAAUGAAUGGUGAAGGUAUGUAAACAGAGGUAAAGAGCUAGAGAAGGAACCUCAGAAACGCUAUUGCUGAGAGUAUUGAGGAAUUCAUUGUAACUUCCAACACCAAUCAAAGAAAACCUCAAGUGAUGCUUUGAAAUUCUUGAUUCUGUAAAAUUUACACCGUAUUCAACAAGAAUUGUUUUCACUUCAUUAGAUAGUUGAAACUCCGAGUCACCUUGAACCAAAAUACUUCGAAGAUUUGCAAGGCUACUAUGCAGUGGCGCAAGGUCGUGCCAAUUAUUAUUCUCCAUAUCCAUGCAAAACGGACUAACAAAAGAUUGGGGAUUUAGUGUUGGUGACAUCCAAGACCGAAUGAUAGAAGGAAAAAUACUAUCUGACAAUCUCUCAAAUCCACGUAGGGAUAGAUAUCCAAUGCGUUUUGAGCUUACAAUCGAAAAGGGCACUUGUUUCACAGCUGUAUUUUCAGCAAUUAGAGUUAUCAAGGAUUUGAUUUGCGCUAUAUCUUCUUCCAAUAUUUUAAUCUUGAAACAACCAGAGAGAAUGAAAGUUCUUAAAGAUUUCAACUUAUAUACCUCUCUGGGGAGAUUGCUUAGACUUGUGCAGUCUUUCAAAUUUAUCAGUAGUAGAUUGCGGAGAUCUCCAAUGGAUUGGUGUACCUUGCACAAACUUGGGCAAUCUUUUAGAAUGAGAUUUUCAAGACUUGGCAUUCCUGAAAAGUCAGGUGUUUCUCUCAAAAACUUGGAGUGACUAAGAUUAAGGAAUUUUAGCCACUUUAAAACCUACAAAGAUUAUUUUGCAAAAUAUCAGAAAGAAAAUAAAAAAAUGCAAUAGUUAUCACAAGAAUCAAUUAUACUAUAUCUAUUUUAAUUAACCUACGAGUUUUAAAUCAAUUGCAAUUACUUUUUCCAUAUGAAAGUUAUUUGAUAUGUACUUAGAAGGAAACCCUCUCCAAUAAAUCCAUCUCAAUUGUUUAGAAAAGUACCCAUAUUUUCCAGUAAGUUGUACAUGAUCCAGUUGUAGCAGUCUUAAUCUCUUCAUUUCCUUGAAAGCAUGAGCUUGGAAGCGAUCUCUUCUGGUUGAAUGCGGUUGCAGGGACAAUCCCUGAGUAGCUUCUGUCCCCUGUGAUGAAUAUAGCGAAAAGAAACAAUUGAGAAAUUUCUCAAUAUCUGUUGAUCAUUUACUUAAUGCUGAGCCUAACAGGUUAACAACACAUGCAUUGCACUUGAAAAAGAAAAUAAAUUCAAAAUAAAUUUCAAAAUCAUAUAAAAAGAAUGUUCUUACAUUAUUCUCUCUCAGUACAUCUUUUACAUCAUCCUGAAAAAAUAAUCCACUCCUUUUCCCCGGUUUCUUUGGCCAACUUUGACGAAUAAUUUCUCUUCCCAUGUCUCGUAACAAAGGAUGCAUUUCAAGUUUGUUGUUCCUUUCAACUUUCAGAAGACCACGUUCUAUGAGAACUCUUAUUCCAAUAUCAGCAUGUAGUCCACAACCAUUUAGUAUCUCUGUGACAUAACCUCUCUCUUUACCAGUAAAGAAACAACACACAUAAAGAAAUAUAUCCUGUUCCAUGUCAUUUAAACCGUCAAAACUUAUUUUUAAUACCUCUUGAACAUUAUCAAUGGGAAUUAUUUUUAGUUUUGACGGUUCAAUUUCCCACUCUUCCAUUCUCGCUUCAAAAAAAGAAGAACCAAGGACCUUAAGAGCUAGUGGUAAUCCUCCACAAUAAGCAACUAUGCUUCUUGCAAGUUCAUUAAAGUCUUUUCUUGGUUUUGCUUCUCUAAAGGCAUGCCAACUAAAGAGCUCAAGGGACUCAUUUUCAUUCAUAACAUCCAUUUUAUAAACAUAAUCAACUUUGAGUCGGUUCAGUACGUGAACAUCUCUAGUUGUAAUGAUUAUCACAGUUCCUUGACCGAACCCUUCACGAUUCCCGCAUAGAUUUUCUAAUUGGUCAAACUGAUUCACAUCAUCAAGCACAAUCAGCAACUUUUUUCGAGAAAGUCCGUUCUCGAUCACAGUUCUUCCCAUCCCAAAACUUUUCAUCCCGGGCUUGAAUUUUAGGAUAUCAUAAAGAAGAUUUUCCUGCAAAGGAACACGCCUUCCAAAUACUUGAUCCCAAACUUGUCUAAUAUUUUCAAUAAAACUCUUACCAAUGAAUUGACGAUAAAUUCGAUUAUAGAUGGCUUUGGCUAUGGUAGUUUUACCUGAUCCUACCAUUCCCCAUAUUCCUAUCAUACACACUUUGGAGGAAUGAUUUUCAAUACAUCCAGUCACCUUUUCCACGUGCGAGUUUAAUCCAACAGGAAAUCGGGUAAUAGACAAGUCUGCAUAGCCCAGCAAUAUCUGAACGCGGCUAACAAUUCGCUCCACAAGUUCAGCAUCAUGCCUUGAAGAUGAAGGGUAAUGUAUUACGAAAAAUAAAUCACAAGCUUAGCAUAUGCUUCAUUCAGUCUCAAACAGAAGAAAGUACGAAGGAUUUAUCUGUUUACCUGAAAUCUCUGACAUCCCAACCACUGAUACCUGCAGCUGUGGUGAGUGUACGGCUCCACCUGGACAAUGGAUGCUCCAGUUGGUCUCCUGAAUAGCUUUUGUGUGCAGCUUCUUCCAACGCUUUUCCACAAUCAUCCUUCUGAUCAUGUACAUCCAAUGGGUCAAUCUCGUAAAAUAUGGGCAGAACUAUUUGGCCAAAAGUUUCGUGGCAUUCAAUGAUUUUUUCAAGCUGAAGAAGACGGCAGGUAGAUUCAGUGUAUGAUUUGGAGAAAACGAUUAUUGCAAUCUUAGAGGCUGCUAUUGCUCGCAUGUGUUCUUCCAGCUCCAUUCCCUCCUGCAGAUUCUCCUCCUUGAUCAAAGUUUUGACUUGAGCUUGUAAAAGGACAGAAUGG